UGUUAAUAGCAUAUUCAUUUGACGUUAGUCUGCAGAAGAAGCACCGGCUAACUCCCGUGCCCAGCAGCCGCGGUAAUACGGAGGGUGCGAGCGUUAAUCGGAAUUACUGGGCGUAAAGCGCAUGCAGGUGGUUUGUUAAGUCAGAUGUGAAAGCCCGGGGCUCAACCUCGGAAUUGCAUUUGAAACUGGCAAACUAGAGUACUGUAGAGGGGGUAGAAUUUCAGGUGUAGCGGUGAAAUGCGUAGAGAUCUGAAGGAAUACCGGUGGCGAAGGCGGCCCCCCUGGACAGAUACUGACACUCAGAUGCGAAAGCGUGGGGAGCAAACAGGAUUAGACUACCCUGGUAG
rnacentral:rRNA from 1 species